rnacentral:rRNA from 1 species
GUGGGGAAUAUUGCACAAUGGGGGAAACCCUGAUGCAGCGACGCCGCGUGAGUGAAGAAGUAUUUCGGUAUGUAAAGCUCUAUCAGCAGGGAAGAUAAUGACAGUACCUGACUAAGAAGCCCCGGCUAACUACGUGCCAGCAGCCGCGGUAAUACGUAGGGGGCAAGCGUUAUCCGGAUUUACUGGGUGUAAAGGGAGCGUAGACGGAAUGGCAAGUCUGAAGUGAAAUCCUGCGGCUUAACUGCAGAAUUGCUUUGGAAACUGUCAAUCUGGAGUGUUGGAGAGGUAAGCGGAAUUCCUGGUGUAGCGGUGAAAUGCGUAGAUAUCAGGAAGAACACCGGAGGCGAAGGCGGCUUACUGGACAAUAACUGACGUUGAGGCUCGAAAGCGUGGGAAGCAAACAGGAUUAGAAACCCCAGUAGUCC